AAACUCGCCUUUGAGGGGAAAUAACAUGUUCACAAAGGUGGUUUUCCCAGGGCAAGGUUUGUCCAUCAAAUUCUGGGUGUGCUGACCCCUGUGAUCCCCCAAAUGUAGAAAACUAGAUGCAUAAUUUAUGGCAGUAGGGGACCAUGUUUAAGAUUCUCCCAC